GAUGAACGCUGGCGGCGUGCUUAACACAUGCAAGUCGAACGAUUGAAGCUGGAGCUUGCUCCGGCCGAUUUAGUGGCGGACGGGUGAGUAACGCGUGGGUAACCUGCCUCAUACAGGGGGAUAGCAGUUGGAAACGACUGGUAAAACCGCAUAAGCGCACGGUGUCGCAUGACACAGUGUGAAAACACUCCGGUGGUAUGAGAUGGACCCGCGUCUGAUUAGCUAGUUGGUGAGGUAACGGCCCACCAAGGCGACGAUCAGUAGCCGGCCUGAGAGGGUGAACGGCCACAUUGGGACUGAGACACGGCCCAAACUCCUACGGGAGGCAGCAGUGGGGAAUAUUGCACAAUGGGGGAAACCCUGAUGCAGCGACGCCGCGUGAGUGAUGAAGUAUUUCGGUAUGUAAAGCUCUAUCAGCAGGGAAG
rnacentral:rRNA from 1 species